rnacentral:misc_RNA from 1 species
GAUGAAGAACGUAGUGAAAUGCGAAAAGUAGUGUGAAUUGCAGAAUUCAGUGAAUCAUCGAAUCUUUGAACGCACAUUGCGCCCGCCAGUAUUCUGGCGGGCAUGCCUGUUCGAGCGUCAUUACAACCCUCAGGCCCCCGGGCCUGGCGUUGGGGAUCGGCGGAAGCCCCCUGCGGGCACAACGCCGUCCCCCAAAUACAGUGGCGGUCCCGCCGCAGCUUCCAUUGCGUAGUAGCUAACACCUCGCAACUGGAGAGCGGCGCGGCCACGCCGUAAAACACCCAACUUCUGAAUGUUGACCUCGAAUCAGGUAGGAAUACCCGCUGAACUUAAGCAUAUCAAUAAGCGGAGGA